rnacentral:rRNA from 1 species
AACGAACGCUGGCGGCAGGCUUAACACAUGCAAGUCGAACGGUUGUAGCAAUACAGCAGUGGCGCACGGGUGAGUAACACGUGGGAAUAUCCCUUUCAGUACGGAAUAACGUCGGGAAACUGACGCUAAUACCGUAUCCACCUCCGGGUGAAAGAUUUAUCGCUGAAAGAUUAGCCCGCGUCAGAUUAGCUAGUUGGUGGGGUAACGGCCUACCAAGGCUCCGAUCUGUAGCUGGUCUUAGAGGACGAUCAGCCACACUGGAACUGAGACACGGUCCAGACUCCUACGGGAGGCAGCAGUGGGGAAUAUUGGACAAUGGGGGAAACCCUGAUCCAGCCAUGCCGCGUGAGUGAUGAAGGCCUUCGGGUUGUAAAGCUCUUUUGUCUGGGAAGAUGAUGACUGUACCUGAAGAAUAAGCCCCGGCUAACUUCGUGCCAGCAGCCGCAGUAACAC